GGAGGCAGCAGUAGGGAAUCUUCCACAAUGGACGCAAGUCUGAUGGAGCAACGCCGCGUGAGUGAAGAAGGUCUUCGGAUCGUAAAGCUCUGUUGUUGGUGAAGAAGGAUAGAGGCAGUAACUGGUCUUUAUUUGACGGUAAUCAACCAGAAAGUCACGGCUAACUACGU
rnacentral:rRNA from 1 species